rnacentral:rRNA from 1 species
UUCGACCUCAAAUCAGGUAGGACUACCCGCUGAACUUAAGCAUAUCAAUAAGCGGAGGAAUAGG